ACGAGUUUUGAAAUGGGUUGUAGCUGGCCUUCACAGGCAUGUGCACACCCUGCUCAUCCACUCACUAUACCCCUGUGCACUUAUUGUAGGCUUGGUGGGAUAAUUGACUGCUUGCAGUCAGUUUGAAAGCCUUGCUUAUGUUUUACAUACAAACGCUUCAGUUUAAGAAUGUUAUUAUUAUUGUGUAUUAACACAUGAAAUA
rnacentral:misc_RNA from 2 species